rnacentral:tRNA from 1 species
GUGGGUGUGCUGGAGUGGUUAUCAGGCAUGACUAAAAAUCAUGUGGACUUUGCCUGCACAGGUUCAAAUCCUGUUACUCACG